rnacentral:lncRNA from 1 species
UGGCUCACUUUGGUACUUGUUUGCCUAAAAAUGAAUAGAAAGCAAGGACAAUUUCAAAGGCUGGUGAUGAAUACAUUUAUUCGGAACAUAAAUAACUAGUAAAGAAAUUAAGUGACAGAUGCAACUUGUGAACCUGAAGCGCCUAAUCAAGCAGUACGUACUAACACAAGUGUCAAGAUUUAUGCAAAAUUGGAACGUAUUGUCACAUGAUCUGAACCUGUACAUAUUUUCAAGUUGUAAAAAAUUAAACAAGGACAGGAUAGCUAUAAAAGCUCCAAAAUCAGGGUCUAGGCUUGCAUCACUUGAAUGGCCUGAUUGUUAUCCUCAUCCUGUCCAUUGUACUCAGAACCAGAAUCUUGUUGGUUCUUGUCCUUCUCUUUUUCUAGGGGAACAUCUACAUUUGCGAACAGGUUAGAUACUACAGGUAGUCCAAGUCGUCGCAUGUGGGCAUUGUUGAGGAGGCAAUUUCUCAUUCGUUGAAGCUCAUAGGCAGUCAUGGGAGCCUCUGCAUCGCCAAAAAACAAAGAUGAAGAUUAGUGGACAGAAAUAAAAUAUACUGGAAACAAAGUAAUGCAAUGAUGUAGAGGAAAUACUACCUGUCAGCAUAAAAGUCUUCCAAAAAACGAACACAGUAAUGCAACAUACAGUCCAAAUAAUAGCAUGAAAGUCUAUAUCUACCUAUCAGCUUCUAAAAUUACAUGGCUACAGAGGAGAUACUACAUCAAAUCUUCCAAAAAAAACUCCUUUUCUGAAGCUAUUUUCAGUUCAGAAUAGCAUGAAAGAUGCAAAGGAUAUAAUCAGAAUAAAAUGAGUGGACAGAGUUCGUUAUGCAGAGUACAACCUUCACUAGGAGCCAUAAAACUAACAUCCCUAAAGAUGCCUGCAGGAACACAAAUCUAAAGAAAUACAGGCACCAGGACCCCUCCAAUACUGAACAAAUAAGAAUUAAAUCCUAGGCGUGCCAUCCAAAAGAGCAAGCUCCUAAUUAAGUUUGUGCAGCCAUAAUUCAUGGAGGCGCAUAUAGUCACAUAGGGUGCAUACGACCUAAUCUAGGGUAGUACAGAGUGUCUACACAAGGAGUAUGAGAUCACCCAAAAUACAGGAAGGAGGAGGCACACUUGACCUCGAAACUUGCUUGUUGGUCUUCCCUUCUUCGAUUGCCUUUUCCGCUUCUUCUGUGGCGACAUUGACGGAGAGGAUGCAGUCGUAGCCGAAAGGGAACGUCCAGGCAGCGGUUGUGGAGCUAAUCCUGGUGGAGAGGAAGCGGUGGCGGCGGGAUGGCUGAGCAGCAGAGGAGGAUUCGGUGGAUUUGGGUGUGGCAGCUGUAGGGUUUGGAGGGAUUUGGGCGGCGGCUGUA